rnacentral:rRNA from 1 species
CCUACGGGCGGCAGCAGUAGGGAAUCUUCCACAAUGGGCGCAAGCCUGAUGGAGCAACGCCGCGUGAGUGAAGAAGGCCUUCGGAUCGUAAAACUCUGUUGUUAGAGAAGUAAGUGCGUGAGAGUAACUGUUCACGUUUCGACGGUAUCUAACCAGAAAGCCACGGCUAACUACGUGCCAGCAGCCGCGGUAAUACGUAGGUGGCAAGCGUUAUCCGGUUUUAUUGGGCGUAAGGGGAACGCAGGCGGUCUUUUAAGUCUGAUGUGAAGGCCUUCGGCUUAACCGUAAUAGUGCAUUGGAUACUGGGAGACUUGAGUGCAGUAGAGGAGGGCGGAACUCCUUGUGUAGCGGUGAAAUGCGUAGAUAUAUGGAAGAACACCAGUGGCGAAGGCGGCUCUCUGGUCUGUAACUGACGCUGAGGUUCGAAAGUGUGGGUAGCAAACAGGAUUAGAUACCCGAGUAGUC